UCUGCAGAUCCUUCCAUGGUGGGCGUCGUUGGUGUGCCUUUUGUGUUGCUACUAUGCUGGAGAGACAGAAUUAGUAGAUUUGAGGUCGUGUGCCGAUGCUGCAGAAGGGAUAGAUUCUUCAUCAAUGAUGCCACUGGUCAGGGGGAGCUUGCCACGAUCUCAGACAACACCUCUGUUGUGCAGCUCAGGCGAGCAUGCUCUAUUACAGAUCUAGAUCAAGUUGGGCGUCUCCAGUUGGUCAGACCCAUCCCCGUUAUCGUUGCUAUUCAAGUGAGGGCGGCCCCUAUCUAGCUUUGACGACCUGGCAUUCUUAGCAGGGAGGGCCAUUUGGUUAAUCCUCCGGUUCUGAGGUUGUGCUCUGUAUCCAGCGUUGACAAAUCUGAACUUGUGAUUAGGCUCUGUAGGUGGUACAAGGCAAGCAUCUUUGGGGCCGCUACCCAGAGGUUGUUUCCCAUAAUCUUGCGCUCGACCUCUACUGGGCAUCUCGGGUGUGCCUUGGACUCGGGAUGGGUAUUUCUCAGCUCACCGCUCUGUCUAGACCAGG
rnacentral:lncRNA from 1 species